rnacentral:piRNA from 1 species
UUGAUUUCGCAUUUUAAAAAG